GUUGCAGCGCCUUUGGGGACGUGUGAGAGAGUGUUUUGGAAGACUCUUUGCUGUCCUGAACCAGUAGGGUCACUGGUUGGAGGCUUGGCGAGGUUUUUGAACCACGUGGAGCUUAUUUGAUGACCUGGGAGGCUGGUUUAGAAGGUGUUCUACCCUAAGCGAGAGGGUGUGUGACCCUUGGACCGCCUUCGUUUGGCCUUGGAGGACCUUUUGGAAGCUUAACGUGAGCUGGAUUGCGACCUAGUGGAGCUGAACUUUGGAACUCCUUGGACUGUUUUGGAGCCUAGUACUAGGUGGGUCGGACCUAACCAGAGCAAGUGGAGCUCCCCUAUGUUCUAUAUGUGCUAUAGAAUUGGUGUUGUUGUGCGCUUUUGUGUUUGAUAUAGGACUUGAGAAGUAAAUUGACUUGAAAUCUCUAUAAAGUAGAGAACACAUAUACAUGAACGUAUUUGUCUUUAUAUUCAAUUCAGUUGAAUGACUUAUGCGUAUUUAUCUUUAUAUUCAAUUUAGUUGAAUGACUUA